rnacentral:rRNA from 1 species
ACGGGGGGGGCAAGCGUUGUUCGGAAUUACUGGGCGUAAAGCGCGCGUAGGCGGCUUUGCAAGUCAGAGGUGAAAGCCUGGAGCUCAACUCCAGAACUGCCUUUGAAACUGCAUCGCUAGAAUCGUGGAGAGGUGAGUGGAAUUCCGAGUGUAGAGGUGAAAUUCGUAGAUAUUCGGAAGAACACCAGUGGCGAAGGCGGCCAUCUGGACCAGCACUGACGCUGAGGCACGAAAGCGUGGGGAGCAAACAGGA